rnacentral:rRNA from 1 species
CCUACGGGUGGCAGCAGUGGGGAAUAUUGGACAAUGGGGGGAACCCUGAUCCAGCCAUGCCGCGUGUGUGAAGAAGGCCCUCGGGUUGUAAAGCACUUUCAGUGAGGAAGAACGCCUGGUGGUUAAUACCCAUCAGGAAAGACAUCACUCACAGAAGAAGCACCGGCUAACUCCGUGCCAGCAGCCGCGGUAAUACGGAGGGUGCGAGCGUUAAUCGGAAUUACUGGGCGUAAAGCGCGCGUAGGUGGCUUGAUAAGCCGGUUGUGAAAGCCCCGGGCUCAACCUGGGAACGGCAUCCGGAACUGUCAACUAGAGUGCAGGAGAGGAAGGUAGAAUUCCCGGUGUAGCGGUGAAAUGCGUAGAGAUCGGGAGGAAUACCAGUGGCGAAGGCGGCCUUCUGGACUGACACUGACACUGAGGUGCGAAAGCGUGGGUAGCAAACAGGAUUAGAUACCCCUGUAGUC